rnacentral:rRNA from 1 species
UACGAAGGGGGCUAGCGUUGCUCGGAAUCACUGGGCGUAAAGGGUGCGUAGGCGGGUCUUUAAGUCAGGGGUGAAAUCCUGGAGCUCAACUCCAGAACUGCCUUUGAUACUGAGGAUCUUGAGUUCGGGAGAGGUGAGUGGAACUGCGAGUGUAGAGGUGAAAUUCGUAGAUAUUCGCAAGAACACCAGUGGCGAAGGCGGGUCUCUGGACAGUUCCUGACGCUGAGGCACGAAGGCCAGGGGAGCAAACGGG